UGGAACAAUCCAUGCAAUCGAAGAUAUUGAAAUGCAUUGAAAAGCUUUAUUCAGAUAAUACGGAAUUACGAAAGAUUGCUGAGGACGUCUCAUGCGAGAUCGUAGUAAACAAAUUAAAUGUACAUUGGGAUGACGUUAUAGGCCUAGAAGAAUGUAAAACCGCUGUUAAGGAGGCCGUUGUGUAUCCCCUUAAGUAUCCUAUCUCUUUUGAUGGCCCGUUUUCCCCAUGGAAAGGUAUUUUGCUGUACGGCCCACCUGGUACAGGGAAAACGAAGUUAGCGAAGGCAGUCGCGACAGAAUGCCAUUGCACCUUUUUUAACAUAACUGCCAGCUGAUUGGUCAGCAAAUGGAGAGGCGAUUCCGAGAAGUAUAUACGUGUAAGUUGCUUUGUCUAUGUUUUAUUUGAACUUGCCUAUAGUCAUUCGCCUACAAUUAUUUUUAUCGACGAGAUUGACUGGAUCGCCACAAAUAAAGGAGACUGUAUAU